rnacentral:misc_RNA from 1 species
CGCCGAGAACAUUACGGGCUCCGUACAGUUCUUCCAUUUUUUAGAGCUGAAGGAAAAUGACGAAAAUGCAUGGAGAUCGAGAGAAAGUGAAGAAGACGAAAAUGGGAAACAAAGCAGUAUCAGCGUGCGUGGCAGGCAAUUCGCAUACCAAUGGAAGCCUCGCCUCCUCUCUUCUACGAUUUCUAUCUCAAGAUCCCUCCUGGAUCUCGCUGAUGGAUCCGAUAAUCCAAAAUUUUUACUCCUUCAAUGUCGAAAUUCCUUCAUUUUCAGCUUUCUUUAUGAGCUUUUGUACUCUGUGGUUAAACUGUGCUUGUCUGGUGUAGGUUGAAGAUUCUGGCGGGUAAGCAUAUGGCGGGAGGAAGAGAUGCAAUGCAAGAUUGCAAUUGCUAACACUCAAUUGGUUUGUGGUGGUGAUUUGGCCUAUUUAGGUGGUUCUUGGAGUAAAACCGUCGGAUCUGAUGGAGAGAUUCCACUCCAGGGUGACUUCUCUGCAGAACAUAUGAUAUUUGGAGUUGAAGGAAUUGAUCCUGCUAGGAGAGAAAAGUUGAUUGACUUGCUUGAUAUUGAUCUACUCUGGCAUGUGGAUAAGGUAUCAGACAGGUAGCAGCAUCGAAUCCAGAUUUUUAUGGGUCUUCUUGUCCCAUUUAAGGUACGGUGAAACAUUGCAGGUCCUCUUGGUGCAUUUGCAGUGGUAAAGGUUUGGGCUAUUCCAGAGUUGGUUUCUGAAAAUUCAGCAAAACCAAGUCUUUGAUCUGGGAGUGCUUAUCUGUUUUGAACUUCUUAUUCUACACCUUCUCCUUUAUUGUAAUGCAGAACUGUGUACUUAGUUGUUCUAAUACCUACACUCACAAAAAAAAUUUCUACUUUCUUGCUGUUUUGGCUGUUUAACUAGACAAGGUGUUUAACUCUUCAACUUGCAGGUUUUGACUGACCUAAUUGCUUAUUUGCCCACUUUAAUGCCUUGUUUUGCAUCUUGGUUCCUUGUAUGAUAAAGAUAUUGAUGAGUGGUCCUCGUAUUUCAAUUUUCUCACUAGCCAAAAUUUUCUAUUUUAGGUUCUUUUACUCAAUGAAGACGACCUGGACGUAGUUGCCAGUCUGGAUUUGCUUGAGUUCUCCGGGGAAGAUUGUGAACAGGUAUGAUUUUUAUCAUGGCAUCCAAGAAAGUAACAUCAUUGUUAUAUGAACUAAAAUUGUUGAAUAUGAAACAUUUUUCUGCUUCUUAAGUAAAACAAUAUGAUCAGGUACCCUCUCAGCAUUCUAUUUUUUAAAUAUUUUUAUGAUAAAUGAAGUGCGCAGGGUGCUUUUUUAUUUCCUUAAGCGUUGGAUCGUAACAUGCAAAAGAAUUCCUCCUGGAAGCCAAUUAUCAUAUCAUGAACAUCUACUGCGUUUCUUCCAUUUAUGCUAUUUUAUUGAUUGCAGAGAGGAGCUACACUUGUAUAUGCAACUGAUAUAUUUGAUGGGUCGGAAACAUGGGCAACGUAUCUGGCUUGCAUCCUGGAUGGUGAACUGAUCGAGGAGGUCUGAGAAGUUAAU